rnacentral:rRNA from 1 species
CUCGUAGGCGGCCAACUAAGUCAUACGUGAAAUCCCUCAGCUUAACUGGGGAACUGCGUGUGAUACUGGAUGGCUUGGAUUUGGGAGAGGGAUGCGGAAUUCCAGGUGUAGCGGUGAAAUGCGUAGAUAUCUGGAGGAACACCGGUGGCGAAGGCGGCAUCCUGGACCAAUAUUGACGCUGAGGAGCGAAAGCCAGGGGAGCAAACGG